rnacentral:lncRNA from 1 species
CUCACCUUGAUCUUGUCCCCAAGAUCAACAGAAAGGAAACUGGGCCUUAAUCCAAUCAGCAUCUUCCCGUGUCACAUUUUCUGGUAGUAGAUCUGACCCGUGCAUGAGCCAUUGUUUUGCCCUGUUUUUUCUGUGCUUCACCCAUCUAGACUGCAAAAUAGAUGGGAAAAAAUGGCCUGAAUGCAAAGAUUGUUUCCCCUCCGGUAGUUGAAAUAUUGGCAUAGUAG